AUACGUAGGGGGCGGGCGUUGUCCGGAAUGAUUGGGCGUAAAGGGCGCGUAGGCGGCGCGGUAAGUCUGGAGUGAAAGUCCUGCUUUCAAGGUGGGAAUUGCUUUGGAUACUGCCGCGCUUGAGUGCAGGAGAGGUUAUCGGAAUUCCCGGUGUAGCGGUGAAAUGCGUAGAGAUCGGGAGGAACACCAGUGGCGAAGGCGGGUAACUGGACUGCAACUGACCCUGAGGCGCGAAAGUGUGGGGAGCAAACAGGAUUAGAUACCCUGGUAGUCCACACUGUAAACGAUGAAUGCUAGGUGUAAGAGGUAUCGACCCCUUUUGUGCCGGAGUCAACACAAUAAGCAUUCCGCCUGGGAAGUACGGCCGCAAGGUUGAAACUCAAAUGAAUUGACGGGG
rnacentral:rRNA from 1 species